UACAGGGGGGUGCAAACGUUUGCUCGGAAUCAUUGGGCGUAAAGCGCACGUAGGCGGUUCGUUAUAUCGGAUGUGAAAGCCCCUUGGCUUAACCGAGGAAGUGCAUCCGAAAACUGGCGAGCUAGAGUACUAAAAGAGGAUCGCGGAAUUCCCCGGUGUAGAGGUGAAAAUUUCGUAGAUAUCGGGGAGGAACACCGGUGGCGAAGGCGGCGUCUGGGGUAGAUACUGACGCUGAGGGUGCGAAAAGCGUGGGGGAGCAAACAGG
rnacentral:rRNA from 1 species